CUCAUAUCACCAUGCUGAAUUUCUUCACUCAUUCAUAACUCUCCUUUCCAUUUCAAGAAAACUUUUCUGUUCCCACAAGCCUGGGAGGGCCCUUGAGUGGGGCAUAUUGGGACCCGUGUUCACACCAGCACUUAGUUUGGAGGAAGCACCUGGAGGAGAUGCAGAGUCCAGAUGUGCGCCCUCUGCCGGAAGCCUACUGCACCAGGACGUAGGCCUGGAGUGGCCCUUAACGCAUUUGGAAAUCAGUCUUCACUAAAAAAACUUCCUCCAAAAUGUUCUUUAACAGCCCUUUAAAAGCCAUUGUUUCAAAACAGUCCAAGGUAGUGAGCAAUUAAUAUUUUCGAUUUACAUGAAGACUCUGGAGUAGGAAUUACCUAAGUUGGAAACCCUGUUCUACUCUAUUGGUAUCAGGUUGCAUUCCGUAUCAUCAUUAAAAU
rnacentral:antisense_RNA from 1 species